AAUCUUCAAAAAUUAUUAGGUCCCUAAAAUGAUUAAGUUAUAGUGAUAACUAAGUCAUAGCCUCCCAUUAAGUGAGUGAUAAUGAGUCCAUUAGUUUAAUAAUCAUUGGAGGCCCAAAGGCCUGGUGCUUAUUGACUAAUGGAAUUAUCAUUCAUAGUAUGAUAAUUUGGUUGAGUCUUUUUGAUGGUGGUCAGGUUGGCCGGCCAAAGUCGGGCCUGAUAAUUUAUUGGUUCGAUUCACCAAAUCAAGUCAUGUUAAUGGUUGGACCUAACCAGAUCU
rnacentral:lncRNA from 1 species